UACGUAGGGGGCGAGCGUUGUUCGGAAUUACUGGGCGUAAAGGGCGCGUAGGCGGCCGAUCAAGUUAGAUGUGAAAGUCCUGGGCUUAACCUGGGGACUGCAUUUGAUACUGAUUGGCUUGAAUUCGGGAGAGGAUAGCGGAAUUCCCAGUGUAGAGGUGAAAUUCGUAGAUAUUGGGAAGAACACCGGUGGCGAAGGCGGCUAUCUGGACCGACAUUGACGCUGAGGCGCGAAAGCGUGGGGAGCAAACAGG
rnacentral:rRNA from 1 species